rnacentral:misc_RNA from 1 species
GUAACAAGGUUUCCGUAGGUGAACCUGCGGAAGGAUCAUUACCGAGUGAGGGCCCUCUGGGUCCAACCUCCCACCCGUGUUUAUCGUACCUUGUUGCUUCGGCGGGCCCGCCGCAAGGCCGCCGGGGGGCAUCUGCCCUCUGGCCCGCGCCCGCCGAAGACACCAUUGAACGCUGUCUGAAGAUUGCAGUCUGAGCAAUUAGUUAAAUAACUUAAAACUUUCAACAACGGAUCUCUUGGUUCCGGCAUCGAUGAAGAACGCAGCGAAAUGCGAUACGUAAUGUGAAUUGCAGAAUUCAGUGAAUCAUCGAGUCUUUGAACGCACAUUGCGCCCCCUGGUAUUCCGGGGGGCAUGCCUGUCCGAGCGUCAUUGCUGCCCUCAAGCACGGCUUGUGUGUUGGGCUCCGUCCUCCUCCCGGGGGACGGGCCCGAAAGGCAGCGGCGGCACCGCGUCCGGUCCUCGAGCGUAUGGGGCUUCGUCACCCGCUCUGUAGGCCCGGCCGGCGCUUGCCGACACAUCAAUCUUUUUUCCAGGUUGACCUCGGAUCAGGUAGGGAUACCCGCUGAACUUAAGCAUAUCA